rnacentral:rRNA from 1 species
CAACUUGAGAGUUUGAUCCUGGCUCAGGACGAACGCUGGCGGCAGGCUUAACACAUGCAAGUCGAGCGCCCCGCAAGGGGAGCGGCAGACGGGUGAGUAACGCGUGGGAACGUGCCCUUCGGUACGGAAUAGCCCUGGGAAACUGGGUGUAAUACCGUAUACGACCUCCGGGUGAAAGAUUUAUCGCCGAAGGAUCGGCCCGCGUUAGAUUAGCUAGUUGGUGGGGUAAAGGCCUACCAAGG